GCUGAAAUCAAGAGUUGGACAUGAAACUGACUAAGCUACCCAAGCACCCCUCAAGGAGGAAGUUUUGAAAGAAGUGUUUGUUGAGCAGUUAAAACAAGUUACUGACAUGGGAAGAUUUGUAUUUAAGAGAGAUCACCAGUAUCUCGGAGGACAGUGUGGAGCAACACCAGAGUCAGAGACCAUGCGGACCUCAGGUAGUCCCCCAAAUACACAACAGUUUCCUGGGCUGUCCAUAAUUCUGAUUUUUUAGAAUAUUUUAAUAAAAGAGCAUCUGAAA